AUGAAAAUAACUAGGAUGAGGCCUAACACGGACUUAUUGCAAAUGGAAACUUAACACGAAUACUAGAGGCAACAAAGGUGCAUAGCCUGGAAUGUUGAAGCCCCUGUGAUGUGCCUAAUAAUCUUGUCCAUUUGAAGCAGGAAAACAAAUCAAGGUGAACUGAAGAAAAUGAGUCUUUCCCCAGAGGAGACAGAAGAUGGGGAAGAUGAGACGUCAGAAGAUAAGGACAAUGGCAGUAGAGAUGAGGUUGAUGUCCCUCAGAAAGAUGGUAGGAAGAUUACUACUGCUCCAGGAAAUAAAAUCGAGAAAAAGCAGUUUCUGGCUCCCAUGUUUGCUGAGAAAUUAAUACCACCACGCAGGAGGGGAGCCACAGGGGCCAAGUUGCCAAAAGACAGGAGGAGUGCCAUGCUCGAGAACCAUGAGAAGUGACAUGAGAACCCUGAGGAGGAUGACGGAGGAAAUUGAGGCACAGAGAAGUUAAGUGACGUACUGAAUAUCACACAGAAAGUGGCAGGAUCAGGAUUUGAGCCCAGCAUUCUGGCUCCAGAGGAUUGCCUCUAUUGACUUCAAGUCACAGGCCGAUGCAGAGAGCGCCUUGGAAGAGAAGCAAGGAACAGAGAUUGGUGGGCUUGCUGUAGUUCUGGAACUUGUAGGAGCAAAAAGCCAAGGCCAAGAUGAGAGAGACGGGGAAAAAAGUGCAACUGGCGAAUGGGAAAAUGAAAGUUGGAACAAGAAAACCAUGCACUUCAAGAAAAAUGGGAGAGAGCUUAUUUCUUUGGAGGUAAAAGAACGUCCCUUCAUAUUUAAUAUGCAAACAAAGUCUGUCUGUGUCAAGAGAAUGUGACCUAAGACACCAUUAUGAAAGCAACCAUAGUAGGAACCAUGAUGCAUUUACAGAAGAGCUGUGUGAUAGAAAAUACAAUGAACUGAAAAAAAGACUGAAAUUUCAACAUGAUUUGCUUUUGAAUGUGAAUAAGAUAAGUGAUGCUGCUAUGAAAUGUAGUUACGUAUUAAGCAAGAAAAUUGCCCGGGCAGCCAAACCUUUUGCCUGGUGAGUUUAUCAAGGACUGUCUGUUGAGCGUGGCAGAAGUCAUGUGCCCUGAACAGAGACAAGCGUAAGCCAUCAUAAGACUAACUGGUAGUGUUGUUGACCAGCACGUUGAGAACAUGACUAAGAACUUGCAGGACGAGUUGCAAGAAGAAGCCAAAUCAUUUGUGGCUUUUUCCAUUGCAGCUCAGGAAGGAGUGGAUGGAAAUACUGACCCCCAUGUACGUGUGUUUAUUC